UGCUGGAGGGUGUUGUAUUAAACUACAGAAUGUCCGUGAUGAAGGAAGAGAGUCUGCUGGUCUUCUUUCCCCUCCACCCAUUUCCUUGUGGGGACUCUUAAUAGUCCUGGAAGAGUUAGAUUCCCUACAAGCACCAGCUGGAAUCUCCCAAAGGUCCCUGGAAGGCAGCUCUGCCUCUGACUGCUAAUGAUUAUUGUGCAUACUGCUUUCUUCUCUUUCUGUUGGGAAUUUUGCUAGCCCUGGAAGGGGUUGAGUCCUGCAGGGUUCAGCUGGAGGGAUGAGUCACACAUUUCUGGAUCUGUGCUGGUGACCACCUGGAUGUGGAGGACUGAUAACUGGAUACAGAAUUCUCCCUGACUUCAGUAAAAGCUAUACCAAUGAAAGGACUUCAGAUAUGAAUGAGAAGAGUUCUUAGAUCCCAGCAAUAAGAAGGAUUAGAGGUUACCAUAAAAUCAGUGACUGCAAUCUCUGUGGUACACACUUCAGGAAGAAGCUACUGAGCAGCAGGACCAGGGCACCUGCAUGUUGUUAUAGAUCCAGCAAUUACAGCACAGAAACAAGAGGUGUUUUCAAAAGGGCUCUUUAGUUAUGAAUGUCUGAGAUACUUAAAUUAGAUCUAGAGGUGCCACUGGUGCUGUGACCAACUUGUGCAUCCCAUUCAUGUAGCAGAUUUCUAUAGUGCUUGUCUCCUUUUGCACAUUUUUACCACAGAAAUAAACAUCUGACCCUAAAUAUAAUGAUUAUAUUUAAAGCUAGUUCCAAGAAAUAAAUAUUCAAAAAGUUUCAAUAUUUUAAUUAUGCAGCUUUCUUUGAAGUUUUAGGAGUCAUGUGGCUUGUGCAAUUUUUGA